GAUGUGGGAUUUUAACUUAGAAAUACUUCAUACUAUAUAAAGUAACUCUUUUCUCUUGUUUGUUUUGUCUUUUUACGGCCGCACCCUUGGCAUAUGGAGGUUCCCAGGCUAGGGGUUGAAUCAGAGCUGUAGCCGCCAGCCAACACCAGAUCUGAGCCGCGUCUGUGGUGUAGGUUGCAGGCGUGACUUGGAUCCCAUGUUGCUUUGGCUGUGGCGUAGGCCAGCAGCUGUAGCAGCUGUAGCUCCAGUUGGACCCCUAGCCUGGAAACUUCCAUAUGCCAUGGGUGCAGCCCUAAAAAGCUAAAUAAAUAAAUAAUAAAUAAAUAAAUAAAUUAAAAAAAAAAUAAAAGAAUCUUAUGUAACAUAGAUGAUAGUAGUGGGUAGUCAAUACCUGGAGCUUGCCCCCUCCAGAUAUUUCUCUUGACCCCAUUCAAUCCAAAAGCCAAAAAAAUCUGUUACAAAUGAAUUGAUUUUCCAAGCCAUACAUAUGGACAAUAACUGAGGGUGCUAUGCAUAUGGAUAUACACAACAAUAUCUAAUGCCUGAACUACUUUUUAAAAACAAAGCUUUGAAAAAUGGGCACAAUUUCAAAAUAUUCACAGACCCAGAGUGUCAAUUUUAAAAUGUAGAUAUAGAACUCUGAUGUCAACAGGCAAUAUAAGUUAACAAAAUAAGUAUUUGGAAUAAACUUAAGUAGACUUUUUCUGUCCCUUAUGUCUCUGUCCUUCUGUCCAUCAGUUCCCUAAUGCUUUCUCAACCUUUGGUCUUUCCCCUUCAUUUAGAUAGAGCAGAAAGGGGAGCAUGGGCUUUAGAGUUUUGAUUUUUAAAUAGAUAUUAAUAUUUAUAUAAUUUCUAAUUUAUAGAACUAGAAGCAAAAUACAGUUAUCUAACUUGUAGAAGUAGAAGAACGAAAUAGAUCUGCAGGUAAGUUUUUUUAAAAAUUACAAUUUGUAAGCAGCAGUAUUUCCUAGUUUUUCUUACUGCUUCCAUAGCUAUGGGGGAAAUAUAUAGCUAAAUACUUUGAGGGUUUCUCAACCAACCUUCCUUGUACAUCUAACAAAACAAUUCCUGUCUUCAUUCACCAAGCCUUUGUUGAGAGGAUUGGGUUAGGCAUUUGUAAAAUUUUGAGCAUAUAGGUGAUACUCAGUAAGUUUUGUCAAAUGCUUACUUUGUUCCAGUAAAAUGUUCUUGUGUAUCAGAAACACAGAGAUCAGUACAUACAUGGUCUUCCCUGUCCUCAAAAUGUGUAUUGCUAGAGGGAAAGAGCUGCUAAACAACUGAUUUUAUAAAAGACCUGUUGCUUGUGCAGAUUUACAAAAUUGUGUCAAUUUGGAAGACUAUACAAUCUUUCCAAUAGUAUGAACACAAUUAGCUAACAAUAAUGGAUUUGACCUAUCCUAUUGGGAGCAUGAUGUUCAGUGAGUAGAGUUAUUAUACAUACCUAUGUUUACAAUGUCUUUAAUUGAAGAACUUCCAUCUAGAUAUGUGAGAUCUUUUCUUAGAAAUAUCUUUAACUGUUCUUUUUCCAGUUUUGUUGAGGUAUAAUGACAUAUAGCACUGUAUUAUAAGUUUAAGCAUACAGCAUAACAAUUUACUUAUAUGUAUCUCGAAAUGAUACUACAAGGUUAAUAUUCAUCGUCUCUUAUAGAUAGUAGUGUAAGUAUAGAUAUGGUGUACAUUACGUCCCUAGUACUCAUUAUAACUGGAAGUUUGUACCAUUUGACUGUUGCCUGAGGCUGGCUCCGGGGGCCAGGAGUAUACACUUUUUGCCAAAGGAGAGGGAUGGAUGUCGGGCUUUUGCAACGGAGACAGCCUCUUUGUCCCUUCUUUCAGGCUCUGGACUGCUCAAAUUUUAUUGGCAAAAGUGGUAGAUUACAUAGACAGUUUUUCACUACAGAUUACAUCAUAGUGUUAAAAGUACAUUGGUUAACUUCACGUGGUACAGCAGCUAUACAUCACGUUCUAACAUCUUUGUCUUAAAUUAAAUUUAGUGAGUACAAUUUAAGGGCAAUUAGGUACAAUACAUCAUGUGGAAAGAAGGAGACUCAGUACAAACCAUCCCAUGGCCAGCAAGUCUCCACAAGUUGAAGAGUCAUGGACACAAGAAUUUGGCAUCACAAAUCUGUUUUAGACUGGUGCUUAUCUUAAAGCGUUAUGGCAGGGAACAGUGUAAGAAAAUAUAAACCAACUUAACUACUAUCACUUAAAAGUUUCUAUAACUCAUAGCUAGAUGUCUUUGGUCAAGAAUAAUAUAUGUCUAACUUCUAUGAAACUCAUUAAAAUCCUAACUCUGAGGUUACUGAUAACUAAUUAGUAGAUAAACACUAAGUUUUAAUUAAGUUGGAUUAAAUAGGGGAAAGUCUUUAGGAUGAAAUUCUUAUUAUAUUAUUGUUGUAACUUGUUAAGAAUGGGAAAUAAGAAUAAUAAGUAAAUAAUUAGGAAAGACUGAGGAAAACUGAAUAACAAUUAAAACAACAGAAAGACUAGUCACCCAAGAAACAAUCCAUGUUCUCCAGCGCAAACAUGGAAAUUGUUUUCCCAGGAAAGCCCCAGUUCUUCCUCAUCAACAUCAAAAUGAGAGCUGGUAACUUGAGGCCUGCUCUUGGCUGUCCCUGCAGGCAGGCUUUUAUCCUGACCAGAAGCCCACCUCAGCAGCUUUAUCCGUCCAGAGGCCCACCUUCAGCUGAACGUUCAGGUGACUUUUAUCCUGACCAGGAGCCCACCUUCAGCUGGUUACAUCAGUGACUCCCUUCCUUGGUUAGAAACCUGCCUCAGGUUUUCUGCUGUCAGGCCAAGUCCUUGUUUGAGUCCCUGCAUUUCUGGCUCCCCACAUUUGACCACCUUUCAGUUCUCCCCUUAUCCCCACCCCACCUCUGAAAACCACAAAUCUAAUCUUUUUUUUUAUGAGUUUGGUUUGUUUCUUUGUUUUUAGAGACGCAUACAAAUGAGAUCAUACAGUAUUUGUGUGCUCUGUCUGACUUAUUUAACUUAGCAUAAUGCCCUAAAGCCCAUCAUGUUGUCACAGGAUGGCAGGAUUUCCUCUUUUUAUGGGCUGAAAAUACUCCAUUAUAUGCAUAUACAUAUGUAUAUAUACCACAACUUCUUUUCUGUUCAUGCGUUGAUGGACACUUAGGUUGUUCCAUGUCUUAGCUAUUGUGUAUGAUGCAAUUAUGAACAUGGGGAUACAGUAUCUUGGCAUAGUGUUUCUGUUUCCAUAGUGGCUGAACAGUUUACAUUCCCACCAGUAGUGUACAAGGUCCCCUUUCUCCACAUACUUCUCAGCAUUUAUCUACUCAAUUUGAUGCUAGUCAUCUAAGAUGUGAGGUGUUUUGGAGGUCCCUGUAUAUUUUAGUUAUUAACCCCUUAUCAGAUAAUAUGGUUUGGAAAUAUUUUCUCCCAUUCCAUAGGUUGUCUUUUAAUUUUAUUGAUGGUUUCUUGCUGUACAGCAGCUUUUUAGUUUGAUGUAGUCCUACUUGUUUUUCAUUUGUUGGCUAUGCUUUAGAUGUCUAAGAUGUCUUCCUAAAUCCUACAUCACGAACUUUUUUCCUGUGUAGGAGUUUUAUAAUUUCAGGUGUUACACUGAAGUCUUUAUCCACUUCAAGUUAAUUUGUGAGUAGUGUAAGAUAGGAGGCUUGUUUCAUUCUUUUAUACAUAGAUCUUUUAGAACCUUGAUACUGGAAAGAACUAAAACAUGUUCAUUAUGACUGAGAGGAUGGUAUGUCUUGAGAUUUGCAUAAGUAUUAUUUUCUAAUAUUCCUUACAGACUUUCCUUCCAAUAUCAAGCACUGCUUAGGUUUUCUUAGCUGUGUGGUGUAGUGGCAGGUCCCCACCUGUGACAAUAAAGCCCUACUAUCAGUAGUCUUAAUUUCUAUAUUUCAAAAGCCUGUCGGAAAUCAUGGACUAUAAAGUGUAUGUCUAAGCUAAGUAAUGAUUAAUAGGCCGUAAAUGACUACAAGCCAAAAUGGCAGGUUACUUUUUAUUUUGGAUUAGAAAAUAGCAUUAACUUGUAGUAAACUGGUAAUAUUCUUCAUUCGAAUAUAACUGGAAACCUUCCCAGACUCGCUCUUAAAAAUGAGCUGUGGCUCUUGUUGUGCAUUCUUCUUUCACUUCACUUCCACAUGAACUGACAGGAUCAUCUUAUAAGUUCUCUGAAAUAUAAACUGGAAAGCAUUUGGUCAACAAAGAAUGGUCUUCCUGCUUUCCUGAAAGCUUCAAACUUGUUACUACCCUCAGAACCUUUCUGAGUGGCUAUCUCCACUGCCUGGAUUAUUCUUCCCCCAGAAAUUCAAAUGGCUUGCUUGUUCCUUUUAAUAAAGUCUCUUCUGUGAUAACCCUUUCUCCCCCAUCUCCUAUCCUCUUUUAUCUUCAUAACAGUAUGUACUCCCUUACAUCUUUGUUUUUGUUUAUGAGAGUUUGCCCUAUUGGACCUAGAAUUUCAUGAGAUCAAGAACAUGCCUUUCUUUUUUCUCUGCAGUAUUUAUAGUGGCUAGGAAAAUCCUGAAACAUAGUUAGUGCAUAAUAUUUGAAGGAAUUUUGGAGUUUGUUUUAACAUUUUCAUGAUCCUGGGAUUAAGGUAAAUAAGACAGGUGUGGUACUUGUUUACAGGUUUUGCACUUUUUAUAAUCUUGUUUAAUUUGGAGCCUAAAUAAAUCUAAAGUGAUAUAAAGCUGAUAGAUUGAAUAUAUUUGCUGUUUCUUUGAUAUAUUUGUUACUUGCCUUUAGGUAUUCAUUCCUAUGGGAGAAGACAAUGAUAAUACAAGGUGGUUAUUUAGUUAUUUGAUCUGUUUAUUGACCUAAAAGAUCUUCAAAAUUAUGAUUCAGCUCCUUAUCAGCUUCUGCCUGAAGUAGCUUUUUAAAAGUGAAGUGAAUCUCCUCAAAUCACAGUUAAUGACAAGAUAGUAUUUUAAGCUGGUCUUCUGACUUUUAAGUCCAAUAUUUUUUUAGCUGCUAGAUGGUUUCCAAAUGAAAUAUUCAGAAAUCCUCCUUAUUAGAAUAGAUUAUUUUUCUUCUCUGUUUCUACAUAUGGAAGCACCAUCUAUUGUAUGUUAAGUUAUACUAACGGGCUUCUGAUGAUGUAAAAGAUGAUCAUGGAAACUAUUUUUCUUUGGCUGAAUUUGUAAUUUUAGUUAUGUAAUAUAAAAACAUAUAGAAAAGUGUAGAAUAAAAGAUUUCUGCAUAUCCACCACAGAGAAUAAAAAAAUGUUAACAUUAAAAAAAAAUGACAGCCAUGUAUCUUGCCCUUGUGUUAUUUGUCCUUUUAUCAAAGAACAUUGUAGUAUGCUUGGCACAUAAUAGCCACUUCUAAUAAGUGUUAAACUUGUAAAGUGACAAAACUAAAACAAUUUAGUAAGGAGUUUGAUGUCACUUAUUCAAAGGAAAACAACCACGGAUUAGGGGAGUGUAGCACCUGACAAGCAAGAGAGCACAAAAGAGUUUUAUAGAGGAUUAGAAAAGCUUGGCCAGGAGAUGGAGAAUCUCCUUAUAAGGCUGUGUGUCUUGUUUUUAGGGAAGGUAAGCUAGGUAAAGCUCAGGUGGAAGACUGCCAUUUGUUUAUAUUAGGUUUCCUUGACAGAUGUUUCCUAUAAGUGCAUGUUGAUUUAGGUUUAGAUUUGUUCUGUGGGCCCAGCCACUGUGCUGGCCUCCAUUUUGUGGGUCCUAUAAACCAAUUAAUUCUAUCAAACACUCAAGAAUCUGUAAUUAGUAGUUAUAGAUGUCUGAUUCAAAAUAAGAAACUUAAUUAUCUGACAUGUUUUAUAGUCACAGGUACGCAUUUAUGAAUGACAUUCAAUUAGUUGUAAUUUUGCUAGGCUUACAUUCAACCAACCCAUCCCUUCAUAUAGAACUAGCAGAAAUGGAGUUCCCGUCGUGGCACAGUGGAAACGAAUCCGACUAGAACCACGAGUUUGCAGGUUGCAUCUCUGGCCUCGCUUAGUGGGUUAAGGAUCCGGGUGCCAGUGAGUGGUGUAGUCACAGACUCGGCUUGGAUCUGGCCUUGUUGUGGCUGUG
rnacentral:lncRNA from 9 species